rnacentral:rRNA from 1 species
UGCAGUCGAGCGGAACGAUGAUAGCUUGCUAUCAGGCGUCGAGCGGCGGACGGGUGAGUAAUGCUUAGGAAUCUGCCCAGUAGUGGGGGACAACAGUCGGAAACGGCUGCUAAUACCGCAUACGCCCUACGGGGGAAAGCAGGGGAUCUUCGGACCUUGCGCUAUUGGAUGAGCCUAAGUCGGAUUAGCUAGUUGGUGAGGUAAAGGCUCACCAAGGCCACGAUCCGUAGCUGGUUUGAGAGGAUGAUCAGCCACAUCGGGACUGAGACACGGCCCGAACUCCUACGGGAGGCAGCAGUGGGGAAUAUUGGACAAUGGGGGCAACCCUGAUCCAGCCAUGCCGCGUGUGUGAAGAAGGCUUUCGGGUUGUAAAGCACUUUCAGCGAGGAGGAAGGCUCUAAAGCUAAUACCUUUAGGGAUUGACGUUACUCGCAGAAGAAGCACCGGCUAACUCCGUGCCAGCAGCCGCGGUAAUACGGAGGGUGCAAGCGUUAAUCGGAAUUACUGGGCGUAAAGCGCGCGUAGGUGGUUGAGUAAGCGAGAUGUGAAAGCCCCGGGCUUAACCUGGGAACGGCAUUUCGAACUGCUCGGCUAGAGUGUGGUAGAGGGUAGUGGAAUUUCCUGUGUAGCGGUGAAAUGCGUA